CGUUGAAACAUCGAUUCUUGUCCGAUCACCGAAGGUAAGCAACGUUACACCUGAUCAGUACCUUGGUGGGUGACCGCUUGGAAAUACCAGGUAC